CCCCCACACCUUAUUAAGACGGCUUGAAAUUGACUAUCAAACCCAAGUAGGAAUACAGAGUUCAGAGGCCACUCAAUCAGUUGGAAAUACAUUCGGCAAUUAUAUGAAAUAGCUACUAAAGCUGCACCUGUUACUACAAUGCCAAGACUAAAAUAUGAGCACAUACACAUAACACCAUUUUCAAAAAUGAGGGUAGACCUUGCAGCUGAAGUUCUCAGUCAAAGUGUUGCAGUAGCAUUAAAAGUCCACCUUACAAAUGAAGCAGAGACAGCUGUUUUUGUUGACAUGUUUGACAAGUUUUUGAUUUGUUAAAUGUAAAAAAUUACACCAAGUGCAUUACUAAAAGAAAGGAG